rnacentral:rRNA from 1 species
UACGUAGGGGGCUAGCGUUGUCCGGAAUCAUUGGGCGUAAAGCGCGUGUAGGCGGUCCGGUAAGUCCGCUGUGAAAGUCGGGGGCUCAACCCUCGGAUGCCGGUGGAUACUGUCGGGCUUGAGUACGGAAGAGGCGAGUGGAAUUCCUGGUGUAGCGGUGAAAUGCGCAGAUAUCAGGAGGAACACCAAUUGCGAAGGCAGCUCGCUGGGACGUUACUGACACUGAGGCACGAAAGCUAGGGGAGCAAACAGG